CACAGACUCGGACAAGUUGCCAGAGAUCUACAGACACUUCCCACAGCUCUGAGCAGGCACCUCUCUGCUUCACUGACAAUCACACUAGAGGUGGGUGACAGCACCAUGAAGGAUUAACAAGCAAGAAACAAAAACCAGGUAAACAUCUGAGGAUAUGAUGAAACUGACGUGAGCCUACAUUGCUUACUACUGAAAAAGCAACUCAAAAGCUACAAUCAAGAGUCUGCUGCAAGCACAAGAGGGCAGAUCAACGCACAUAAUGGAUUUUUCUAACAACAGAGGUCUCAACCUGCUACUGAAUUUUCUGCUUAUUGUCUUGGUUCUAGUGCUCGCAUUUAUCCUUGUGAAGCUGAUGUGAAGUUCCGCGAGGCUCUACUUCCUCCUCAAAUCUUGUUUUGAAGGUUUUGUAAUGAUAAUGUAGACACUUCAAACUAUCUAACUAUAAAUAAGCAAAAAAUGCAGAGACUCAAAUAUCUGACAGAGAAAGAUUCACGCUAUUUUAUCACAAAUCAUUCCUAAAAGCUGUGCACAAUUAUCUACCUGCCACUAAGUAAAGAAACCAUCUAGAGCCUUCCUGAGUAAACCAAGAAAUCCAAGUAUGCAUCAGUUGUUACUGUAGUUAUCACUGCUACAAAUGACUUGUAUUUAAACACCUACAAAGCAUCUACACAGCCUUCAAGGAACAUUCUUUCUGCAAAAGAUUACAAAUAAAAUUUUUAAAAUAUUAUUUCCAUAGAAGACAUACUUCAUGGGAAAUGACAGAUACAGGAGGAAAGCAGAAUGAAACACCAUUAAGUGGGCUGACAAGGUAAAUCAAAUAACCUGUGGAAAGCAAAAGCUCAGAUGCUGAGGAUGGAAACAAAGAAAGCCCACGAAAAGUAACUUAUCCUAGCUGCUGCAAGAUGACCAUCUGCAGUUCACAGCAAGCUCUCAGAAGCCAUUAGUAUUAUCCAAUAGUAUCAAGAGGUAGCUCCCCUCACAAUUGAAAAAUAAGUGACCAGUAGUUAUAACUGCAUAGGAAGUCCUCAACACUGACACAUACAUGUGCAGUAGGCGGAUCUGCAGAAAUGCAAGAAGUAUGCUGUGUUUUCAGUAAGGGAGAUUUACCACUUAUGCACAGGUCAAGUGUGCAGUGUGAGAGUCCUCAAGCUGUAUCUGACACAGCACUUAUUACUUGCUAGUGCAAUCGUUCAGUCCAUAGCUUGUCCUCACUUCAAGCAUGCAACUUAUGCUUCUUUCAUGGCUCUUUGCAGAAUAAUGUACUCUCCCCACAGGUCUCUUGGAAGGGCAGUGACCAAGAAGAGCUCUCUUUUGCUGGAAUUAUUUGCCCAAAAGGUAGCUCUACAUACCUGAGAUAUGCUGGGAAAGGUGUCCAGAAACAGAUUUUAUACAAAACAUUGAGGUCAAAUAGCUUAUUUGUAAUACCUCUUUCCCAGAUACAACAUGAAAACAAAGUCCACCAACACACAUGCCCUGUACAGUAACAGUACGUGCCACAUGUAUACAUACUAAUAGUCUUUUGCAGACAUGCGAAAAAGGCAGAUGUUACUCCUACGGUGGAGGAAACCCCAGCUUUCUAUUACCAACAGCACAUCCCCGAUUCAGCACAUAAGACUGUUAAUCCAGCCCUUCAAGUGCCAACUAUAUUACAGAGCUGAUCUAAUCAAGUUCACACUCAGGAUUUCCAGAUGAUUACCAAUGUUGUAGAGUGAUUCAGUUAUUUGGAAGAGAUUAAUCUAAAUUGGGACUACAAAGACUUCUUGUUUGUGAAACAAAGUUUAUGCAAGUCCUACUGUUCACAGGCAUCUACAUGCUACUCUAUGCUACCUGCUCCAAAGUUUAGGCAGCAUUAGACACUGCAGCACAGAUAGUUAGAAUGAAAAAACUUACCUGCUCCAAAACACAUGUAACAUUUAUAAAAGCUUCUGCAAACAACCCAUCUAUGGCUUAAUGUUGAUACAAUAAUAUCCAUUCCUCUCUGUGUGCAUUCAAAGCAGAAAUUCAAAGUACUUACUCUAGAUCGUAAGGAAUGGAAUCCCUGUUGAUGGACUAUCAGCUUCACAGCAAAAGGAAUAGAAGACAAAAGCUUAACUGGGUCUCGCAGUGGAGUUUGUGUUGCUAACUAAAGGUAUUAAUCCAUGUUUUUCCACGUUAAAAACUUUUAUCUUGCUGAAAAGUACUGUUUUUUCUGUCAUACCUUGUUGAAGUGUUGGUACUAGUUGUUUUUAGUUUUCUGAUCUGCCAGGAUCAUAAGAAAAACUAGCUCCGAGCUGACCUUUAGGAACAAAAUUUUCUGUGGCAAGAAUAUUAUUUAAAAGGUGUUGUAACUUUUAAUCUUUAUUGCAGUUUUACAACUUCCGUUUACCAAUGUUUAGAUGUUCUGUUUAGAAAUGAAGAUUGUUAUAGUAUCUCCAGAUUUCUUAAUACUUAAAAUUUAAUUUCCAGUAACUUGUACAUACAUGGUAUAAACAGGAUAGUGUCUUCCUCAUUAAAGGAAAGACAGUAAACCAGAUACAUCAAAGGAAAAAGAUGCACUUAAGCAACUUUGAUCUCUUAUUUUUGCUAUAUUGUGACACAAAUUAGCACACCGUGAAGAAAUCAUACAGAUACUCCAGAUACAUACAGAUACUGGGAAAAAAAGACAGAUUUAUCCUGCAAUGCCUAAAACACUCCACAGAGAUAAUAAAUAAACAUGAAACCUUCUGAAAUCUUCCUUCUUAUUGUAUUAUCUCCUUCAAUUUUAAAGGCAUGUCUUCAUUUUAAAUCUAAUUUCUGGACUACCACACUGUAUGUACUUAAAUACAGACAAAUAAUAGGACCAGGCUUUAAGAAAUGCCUUUUGAUGAAAACAUACAAUUUUUUUACCCAGAGUUGUUUGGCUUCCCUCACCCUUCAUUAAGUGGAAAAUGCUGUCAUGUAUCAUAAGCAUUUUUUCCCCCCUCAACACAGGCCUAAAUCACAUACUUCCUUUUAACCCCUCAGAAUUAAAUGUUGCAAUAGUAGUAUCUCCUGAAGAUGAGCUGUAUAUUGGAAAUAAAGUG